CCUACGGGUGGCAGCAGUGGGGAAUAUUGCACAAUGGGGGCAACCCUGAUGCAGCAACGCCGCGUGAGCGAUGAAGGCCUUCGGGUCGUAAAACUCUGUACUAAGGGAAGAAUACUGACGGUACCUUAGGAGGAAGCGCCGGCGAACUACGUACCAGCAGCCGCGGUAAUACGUAGGGGGCUAGCGUUCUCCGGAAUUACUGGGCGUAAAGGGUGCGUAGGCGGCCCUUCAAGGCAGAGGUGAAAGGGUACGGCUCAACCGUAGUAAGCCGUUGAAACUGGAGGGCUUGAGUGCAGGAGGGGUGAGUGGAAUUCGGAGUGUUGCGGAGAAAUGCGUAGAUAUUGGGAGGACCAUGGGGUGCGAAGGAGGCUCUCGGGACUUUAACUGAUGCUGUGGCACGAAAGCGGGGGGUGCAAACAGGGUUAGUCACCAGCUGGGAC
rnacentral:rRNA from 1 species